rnacentral:rRNA from 1 species
GGCUUGAUCCUGGCUCAGAUUGAACGCUGGCGGAUGACAUGCAAGUCGAACGGCAGCACGGACAGACUUCGGUCUGGUGGUUAAGGGCGAACGGGUGAGUAAUGUAUCGGAACGUGUCAUAGUAGCGGGGAUAACUACGCGAAAGCGUAGCUAAUACCGCGUAUACGCCCUUCGGGGAAAGCGGGGGGACCUUCGGGCCUCGCACUAUUAGAGCGGCCGAUAUCGGAUUAGCUAGUUGGUGGGGUAACGGCUCACCAAGGCGACGAUCCGGCUGGCCGAGAGGACGACCAGCCACACUGACUGGAGACACGGCCCAGACUUACGGGAGGCAGCAGUGGGGAAUUUUGGAUAAUGGGGAAACCCUGAUCCAGCCAUCUCAUGUGUGCGAUGAAGGCCUUCGGGUUGUAAAGCACUUUUGGCAGGAAGAAACGGCACGGGAUAAUACCCCGUGCAACUGACGGUACCGCAGAAUAAGCACCGGCUAACUACGUGCCAGCAGCCGCGGUACGCAGGGUGCAAGCGUUAAUCGGAAUUACUGGGCGUAAAAGCGUGGCAGGUUAUUCCUGGAAAGAAAGAAGAUGUGAAAUCCCAGAGCUUAACUUUGGAACUGCAUUUUUAACUACCGAGCUAGAGUGUGUCAGAGGGAGGUGAAUUCCGCGUAGCAGUGAAAUGCGUAUAGGUGGAGGAACACCGAUGGCGAAGGCAGCCUCCUGGGAUAACACUGACGCUCAUGGCCGAAAGCGGGGAGCAAACAGGAUUAGAUACCCUGGUAGUCCACGCCCUAAACGAUGUCAACUAGCUGUUGGGGCUUUCGGGCCUCGGUAGCGCAGCUAACGCUAUGAAGUUGACCGCCUGGGGAGAAGGUUCUGGUGAUUAAACUCAAAGGAAUUGACGGGGACCGCACAAGCGGUGGAUGAUGUGGAUUAAUCGAUGCAACGCGGAAAAAACCUGCCUACCCUUGACAUGUCUGAAUCCCGAAGAGAUUUGGGAGUGCUCGCAAGAGAACCGGAACACAGGUGCUGCAUGGCCGUCGUCAGCUGUGUCGUGAGAUGUUGGGUUAAGUCCCGCAACGAGCGCAACCCUUGUCAUUAGUUGCCAUGAAAGGGCACUCUAUCGAGACUGCCGGUGACAAACCGGAGGAAGGUGGGGAUGACGUCAAGUCCUCAUGGCCCUUAUGGGUAGGGCUUCACACGUCAUACAAUGGUCGGGACAGAGGGCUCGCCAACCCGAGGAGCCAAUCCCAGAAACCCGGAUCGUAGUCCGGAUCGCAGUCUGCAACCUGACUGCGUGAAGUCGGACCGCUAGUAAUCGCGGAUCAGCAGGUUGCAGGAACACAACGUGGGUCUUGUACACACCGCCCGUCACACCAUGGGAGUGGGUUUUACCAGAAGUAGUUAGCUCAACCGUAAGGAGGGCGAUUACCACGGUAGGGAUUCAUGACUGGGGUGAAGUCGUAACAAGGUAA